rnacentral:rRNA from 1 species
GACGAACGCUGGCGGCGUGCUUAACACAUGCAAGUCGAACGGAAAGGCCCUGCUUUUGUGGGGUGCUCGAGUGGCGAACGGGUGAGUAACACGUGAGUAACCUGCCCUUGACUUUGGGAUAACUUCAGGAAACUGGGGCUAAUACCGGAUAGGAGCUCCUGCUGCAUGGUGGGGGUUGGAAAGUUUCGGCGGUUGGGGAUGGACUCGCGGCUUAUCAGCUUGUUGGUGGGGUAGUGGCUUACCAAGGCUUUGACGGGUAGCCGGCCUGAGAGGGUGACCGGCCACAUUGGGACUGAGAUGCGGCCCAGACUCCUACGGGAGGCAGCAGUGGGGAAUAUUGCACAAUGGGCGGAAGGCUGAUGCAGCAACGCCGCGUGCGGGAUGACGGCCUUCGGGUUGUAAACCGCUUUCGCCUGUGACGAAGCGUGAGUGACGGUAAUGGGUAAAGAAGCACCGGCUAACUACGUG